UGGGGAAUAUUGCACAAUGGGCGCAAGCCUAAUGCAGCCAUGCCGCGUGUAUGAAGAAGGCCUUCGGGUUGUAAAGUACUUUCAGCGGGGAGGAAGGGAGUAAAGUUAAUACCUUUGCUCAUUGACGUUACCCGCAGAAGAAGCACCGGCUAACUCCGUGCCAGCAGCCGCGGUAAUACGGAGGGUGCAAGCGUUAAUCGGAAUUACUGGGCGUAAAGCGCACGCAGGCGGUUUGUUAAGUCAGAUGUGAAAUCCUCGGGCUCAACCUGGGAAAUGCAUCUGAUACUGGGAAGAUUGAGUAUCGUAGAGGGGGGUAGAAUUCCAGGUGUAACGGUGAAAUGCGUAAAGGUCUGGAGGAAAAACGGUGGCGAAGGCGGCCCCCUGGACGAAGACUGACGCUCAGGUGCGAAAGCGUGGGGAGCAAAAAGG
rnacentral:rRNA from 1 species